ACUUGACCACUAGGCUUAUCUCUUUCCGUUUCUGAGCAUGCAUACUCAUUCACAGCAUCAAAAUGCACAGAUCCUGAUGGAGAUUGCACAGGGCAGGUGAUGCUAGAUUGCACCAUACUCAACUCUGGACUUUGUGAUUGAAGUGUUGACAGAAGAUAGAGAGCACAACCUGAGUCAAAGGAUCC
rnacentral:pre_miRNA from 1 species